UUACGGUCAUAUCCCGUUGAAACCCCGGUCCUUCUACGAUCGCCGAAGUUAAGUAAUGUCGAGCCUGGCUAGUACGUAAAUGGGUGACCAUUUCCGAAUACCAGGUGCUGUAAG